UGUGUGAAGCUAUGGAGAAGAUGGCUGAUCGUGGACUGACCCGCAACCAUACCUUCAGGGAUCGGCUCAGUGACACACUUUCUGCUCACAAGAAUGAACUAGUGGCUCUCUUCUCAAGGUUUGUCAAGCAAGGCCAGGCAAUUCUUCGGCCCCAUCAGUUGCUCUCCGAGUACAAAGCAGUGAUACUAGGAGCGGACAGAGAGAAGCUGAAGGAUGGGAUAUUUGAGGAUGUUUUGAAGGCUGCACAGGAAGCCAUUGUUAUCGCUCCAUGGGUCACUCUGGCAAUUCGCCCACGGCCUGGAGUGUGGGAAUAUGUGAGGGUGAAUGUGAGUGAACUCGCAGUGGAGGAGCUGACUGUGCCGGAAUAUUUACAGUUCAAAGAGGAACUUGUGGAUGGGAGCAACCAAAAGAAUUUUACACUUGAGCUGGAUUUUGAACCCUUCAAUGCUACUUUUCCCCGUCCAUCGUUGUCUAAAUCCAUUGGCAAUGGAGUGCAGUUCCUGAACCGCCAUCUUUCUUCGAAACUGUUUCAGAACAAGGAAAGCAUGUAUCCACUGCUUAAUUUCCUAAGGGCACAUCACUACAAUGGAACGUCGAUGAUGUUGAAUGACAGAAUUCACACCCUCAGUGCUCUCCAAGCCGCACUAAGGAAAGCGGAGGAACAUCUGUUAACUCUCCCUCUAGACACUCCAUCCUCAGAGUUUAUUCAUAGAUUCCAAGAGCUUGGUUUGGAGAAAGGUUGGGGCGAUACCGCUAAGCGCGUACACGAGACUCUUCAUCUUCUUCUUGAUCUUCUUGAGGCACCCGAUCCAUGUACCUUGGAAAACUUCUUAGGAACUAUUCCUAUGGUGUUCAAUGUUGUCAUUCUUUCUCCACAUGGCUACUUUGCGCAGGCUAAUGUUUUGGGGUACCCGGACACCGGCGGCCAGGUUGUUUAUAUCUUGGA
rnacentral:misc_RNA from 1 species